rnacentral:misc_RNA from 1 species
AACGCAAGUUGCGCUCUCAUUUGCGUGGGAGCAUGCCUCUUUGAGUGUCGGUUUCCACACUCACUCCCGUGUGUCUUUGUAUGCACGGGGACAAUGGGCUGUCGGCUUUGUGUUACGCAAGCCGUCGCUUGAAGAGACGAGACGUGCCCGGUGUCCAACACCAGCAACGAAAACAACAAAUGCGACGUGGGUAGGUUUGGGGACUUUGUUUCCUAGACACGACACGACGCGUUUGUUCGUUGCGCUACGGUGCGGGCGUACGCAUGCCGCCAGCGCCCUACUAGGGCGUGCGGGCGGCCACCUGCGCUCGCGCAAGGUGAAGACCCAUCACGACUCGACCUCAAAUGAGGCAAGAGGACCCGCCGAAUUUAA